rnacentral:rRNA from 1 species
GCCUAAUACAUGCAAGUCGAGCGGACCGACGGGAGCUUGCUCCCUUAGGUCAGCGGCGGACGGGUGAGUAACACGUGGGUAACCUGCCUGUAAGACUGGGAUAACUCCGGGAAACCGGGGCUAAUACCGGAUGCUUGAUUGAACCGCAUGGUUCAAUCAUAAAAGGUGGCUUUUAGCUACCACUUGCAGAUGGACCCGCGGCGCAUUAGCUAGUUGGUGAGGUAACGGCUCACCAAGGCGACGAUGCGUAGCCGACCUGAGAGGGUGAUCGGCCACACUGGGACUGAGACACGGCCCAGACUCCUACGGGAGGCAGCAGUAGGGAAUCUUCCGCAAUGGACGAAAGUCUGACGGAGCAACGCCGCGUGAGUGAUGAAGGUUUUCGGAUCGUAAAACUCUGUUGUUAGGGAAGAACAAGUACCGUUCGAAUAGGGCGGUACCUUGACGGUACCUAACCAGAAAGCCACGGCUAACUACGUGCCAGCAGCCGCGGUAAUACGUAGGUGGCAAGCGUUGUCCGGAAUUAUUGGGCGUAAAGCGCGCGCAGGCGGUUUCUUAAGUCUGAUGUGAAAGCCCCCGGCUCAACCGGGGAGGGUCAUUGGAAACUGGGGAACUUGAGUGCAGAAGAGGAGAGUGGAAUUCCACGUGUAGCGGUGAAAUGCGUAGAGAUGUGGAGGAACACCAGUGGCGAAGGCGACUCUCUGGUCUGUAACUGACGCUGAGGCGCGAA